rnacentral:rRNA from 1 species
AGUUUGAUCCUGGCUCAGAAUGAACGUUGGCGGCGUGGAUUAGGCAUGCAAGUCGAGCGAGAACCCAGCAAUGGGGGACAGCGGCGCAAGGGACAGUAAUGUGUAGAUUAUCUGCCCUCGGGUCCGGGAUAGCUGCGGGAAACUGCAGGUAAUACCGGAUAACAUCUCCGGAUCAAAGGUGUGAUUCCGCCCGAGGAUGAGUCUGCAUCCUAUUAGCUAGUUGGCAGGGUAAUGGCCUACCAAGGCUUUGAUGGGUAGCGGGUGUGAGAGCACGACCCGCGUCAUUGGGACUGAGACACUGCCCAGACACCUACGGGUGGCUGCAGUCGAGAAUCUUCGGCAAUGGGCGCAAGCCUGACCGAGCGACGCCGCGUGUGGGAUGAAGGCCUUCGGGUUGUAAACCACUGUCAGAGGGGAUGAAAUGCAGGUGGGUUCUCCCAUCUGUUUGACAUAGCCUCAGAGGAAGGACGGGCUAAGUUCGUGCCAGCAGCCGCGGUAAGACGAACCGUCCGAACGUUAUUCGGAAUCACUGGGCUUAAAGGGUGCGUAGGCGGCGCGGAAAGUUGGGUGUGAAAUCCCUCGGCUUAACCGAGGAACUGCGCCCAAAACUACCGUGCUUGAGGGAGAUAGAGGUGAGCGGAACUUAGGGUGGAGCGGUGAAAUGCGUUGAUAUCCUAAGGAACACCGGUGGCGAAAGCGGCUCACUGGAUCUCUUCUGACGCUGAGGCACGAAAGCUAGGGUAGCGAACGGGAUUAGAUACCCCGGUAGUCCUAGCCGUAAACGAUGAGCACUGGAUUGGAGGGUCCUCCAU